GUAGGUGACAAGCGUUGUCCGGAUUUACUGGGCGUAAAGAGCGCGCAGGCGGUUCGAUCAAGUCGAGUGUGAAAGCCCCCGGCUCAACUGGGGAGGGUCAUUCGAUACUGAUCGACUCGAAGGCAGGAGAGGGUAGUGGAAUUCCCGGUGUAGUGGUGAAAUGCGUAGAUAUCGGGAGGAACACCAGUGGCGAAGGCGACUACCUGGCCUGUUCUUGACGCUGAGGCGCGAAAGCUAGGGGAGCAAACGGGAUUAGAUACCCCGGUAGUCCUAGCCGUAAACGAUGGACACUAGGUGUUGGUGGUAUCAACCCCGCCAGUGCCGAAGCUAACGCAUUAAGUGUCCCGCCUGGGGAGUACGGCCGCAAGGUU
rnacentral:rRNA from 1 species